UACGGAGGGUGCGAGCGUUAUUCGGAAUUACUGGGCGUAAAGCGCACGUAGGUGGCCAGGCAAGUCGGGUGUGAAAGCCCUGGGCUCAACCUAGGAAGUGCACUCGAAACUGCAAGGCUGGAGUCCUGGAGAGGAAGGCGGAAUUCUCGGUGUAGAGGUGAAAUUCGUAGAUAUCGAGAGGAACACCAGUGGCGAAGGCGGCCUUCUGGACAGUGACUGACGCUGAGACGCGAAAGCGUGGGGAGCAAACAGG
rnacentral:rRNA from 1 species